rnacentral:ncRNA from 2 species
AUUUUUAAUAUUCUCCGAGCCUGGUUGUCUAAAGUUUAAAGCCAUGGCGCCAGGCCGAUAGGGUAUAUUGGGAAACUGGUAUGCCUCCACUUUUGGGAAGGAGAUGAUAAGGUAUAGUA